ensembl:lncRNA
AUGAUCCCCUGGGGAGGUAGCAGGGACCUCUGCAACUAUGCACGAUCUCUCAAACUUCAAGAUUCAUGUCUGGAUGUGUUAUGCUGUGGACAUAAGUUUAGUAGGGCAGUCACUUCCUACUCUGAGUUACUGGUUACCUAGCCACUCCAUGGGUAUGACUUGGUCAUUAAGCCAGUUCACUACCUGCCUCCCACCCUGGGGUCAGGACUGAACUAUAGAAGAGCAUCAUGGCUGUGCAGGAGGCUAUGGUUUGAAAACUGAGCCCAGAGGGCACUUUCAGCUGCCCCCAAUAAUGUGAAUGGAUUAGUGCUAGGAGCCAAGGAGCAGGACUGGAUUAUCUCAUCUGACUGUGUGCAGAGUCCUGUUGAAUGUCCCUGUUUCUUUGGUUGGGUAGUCAGAGCUCUGCUAUGGUGAACAUCCAGACUGUCACCACCUUCUCUCUGCCCCUCGAAAGGGGCAGUCCUUUCCACUUGGUCCCCUUUGGAUCUUGACAAGAGGAGCAGUUCUUUUAUUGUUAGAUGUCAGAGAAAGACCUCCAGAAUCUCCUGACUUUAGGGAAUGGUAUAGGGGAAGAUGGGAAGUAAGAGCCACAUAUCAAACUACCCUCCACUUUAUUCCCUGAGCGAGGGUUUAUGAAGUAUAAAGGGGUGGGAGCCCCGAGGUGAGCAGAACGGUGCUGCUUCCACUCCAGCUCUCACAUUGACCAGUUUCAAUUCAGCUCAAUGCUCCUGCUUCUGAAGCCUGCCCAAUUUCUUUUUUCUUGGCCUCUGUUUUUGUUUUUGUUUUUGUUUCUUUUUUCUUUCUUUCUUUUGUCUCUUGUUUUUGUAGAAGAUUCAGAAAAGAAUCUUUCUUAUGGCUCCCUCUGUUGGGAUUGGAAUUGGAAGAGAACUUAAUUUUUUGUAUUUAAAAUGCAGUAUCAUGCCUAAGCAUUUCUCCUGUAUAGGACUGCCUUGCUAGUGUGCCCUCUUGCUGUGUCUUACUUCAUAAGGAGUUGUAUCUUCCCACCUCCAUUUCAAUACUGGUUGUUAGGACCUAAGCAGAAGAGCAGUAAAGGCUGAUUGACACACAGGGGGAUGGAGUUGGUCCUUACCCGUUCUCUAACCCUUGCUGUGCAUGUAUCGGUCCUUAUCCCAGAAGGUACUAUUUAGACUGUGUAGACUGAUGUAGAUUGCAUACUGUAGAGGAUUAAGGAAACCAUAGAGAUUGGGCCUUGGAACUAUUACUGCCUUCUCUUAGAGUUGUCCUGAUCAGGCUUGGGGCCUAGUUACAGAUUAGUCUUAAAGAGUCACAGUAACUUUAAAAAAAAUCAAACCUUGCAAAAGCUAAAAUAAUUUGGAGAUAUCUUUGCCCUUGACUUGUAGAUAUCUAAGAGGAUGAAGAAAGGAGAGUCUAAGUGAGACUCUGGCCUACUUCCUAACAAUGUCUUGGAAGUGGGAUGAUAGUAAAGGAGAAAGGCCACGGUCCAAUCCCUCUACCUUCAGAUAGGGAACUCAAAUCCUGAAAUUACUAUUUUCUUUCUGGCCUUUUCUCCUGGUUAGAGGAGGAAGUGGGAAGUAGUUUUGAGUAAUACUUUGUUCAUAUUACUCUCUUUUUUUGUUUUUGUUUUUGUUUUUUUGUUUGUUUCUGGCCCCUCUACCAAUAGGGCAAUAGCCCCCUACCCUGGAUGGGUAUAAGGUGGGCUUGGUCCAACAGGUGCCCAGAGGGUACAGACUCCUUUCUGGGGAGAGAAUGCUCCCUACCAUAUAGUUGACAGUGGUUAGGAACUCUCCCUUUCCCUACCUAUCUUCCUUUUAACAACAGAAUUCCUGUUUUUCCCUUCUUGAUUAAGUGUAUUGAUCACCCUGCAAUCCUAUUAUGUAUCUGAGUGUGUGUGUGUGUGUAUGUAUGUGUUAUGGGGGAAGGGGGGGUUCUUUAAAAUUUCUGUGGUUUGUGGCUUUUUCUUCCAUACAUUAGUUCCCACCAUCGCAUGCCCAGGGACCACUGCCUGGCAUUAUCGCAUGCUGGGAUCAUCGGGGGAGGGUAGUGAAGCUCACCACUGUCCUUUGUUUUGGAGAUUCUUAUUUUUGCAUAAGUAGUCCAUCCUAUGCAGAUAGCUGACUAACUGUAUUCCCCAUUCCCCUAUGGCUGCUGAUGUAAAUAAACUGCAUCUCCCCAUUGGUAAACAGUAAUAAACAAAAUUUUAAAAAA